rnacentral:rRNA from 1 species
UACGGAAGGCGCUAGCGUUGUGCGGAAUUACUGGGCGUAAAGCGCGCGUAGGCGGCUUACCAAGUUGGGGGUGAAAUCCCGGAGCUCAACUCCGGAACUGCCUUCAAAACUGGUAGGCUCGAGUCCGGAAGAGGGGCGUGGAAUUCCCAGUGUAGAGGUGAAAUUCGUAGAUAUUGGGAAGAACACCGGUGGCGAAGGCGGCGCCCUGGUCCGGUACUGACGCUGAGGCGCGAAAGCGUGGGGAGCAAACAGG